rnacentral:rRNA from 1 species
AACGAACGCUGGCGGCAGGCUUAACACAUGCAAGUCGAACGCACCUUUCGGGGUGAGUGGCAGACGGGUGAGUAACGCGUGGGAAUCUACCCUUCUCUACGGGAUAGCUCCGGGAAACUGGAAUUAAUACCGUAUACGUCCUGAGGGAGAAAGAUUUAUCGGGGAAGGAUGAGCCCGCGUUGGAUUAGCUAGUUGGUGGGGUAAAGGCCUACCAAGGCGACGAUCCAUAGCUGGUCUAAGAGGAUGAUCAGCCACAUUGGGACUGAGACACGGCCCAAACUCCUACGGGAGGCAGCAGUGGGGAAUAUUGGACAAUGGGCGCAAGCCUGAUCCAGCCAUGCCGCGUGAGUGAUGAAGGCCCUAGGGUUGUAAAGCUCUUUCAGUGGGGACGAUAAUGACGGUACCCACAGAAGAAGCCCCGGCUAACUUC